GGCUCCCACUGCAGCAGCUCGGGGGACCCCGCUGAGUACAACCUGCGCUCACGCACCGUGCUGUGCGGGACAUGUGGGCAGCCUGCUGACAAGGCUGCCAGUGGCUCAGGAGCCCAGGUGGGCGGAUCCAUCUCCUCUGGCUCUUCUGCCUCCAGUGUCACAGUCACUCGAAGCUUCCGCAGUGUGGGGGGCAGUGGGGGUGGCAGCUUCGGGGACAACCUAGUCACCCGCUCCUACCUCCUGGGCAACUCCAGUCCCCGGACCCAGGUGAGUCAUCUCUUCGCUUCUGCCCUACAGCAGGACACUGCUCACCGAGCAGCAGGGCAGCCCACGGGAGUGGGGUCCCCCUCCUUGCAGCCCCCCUUGCAUCCUGCCCCUCCUGUCUGAACCCCAGACUCGAGGUCAGGGCGAGGCCCAGAGUGUGAGGGUUUGGGAGACACACCCCCUUUGGGGUCAGGGAGGGAGAGGAAGGGCCAGGCACUGCUGCUCACACCUCUGCCUUCUCUUCUCUCUUAGAGCUCCCAGAACUGCAGCAUCAUGUAAUCUGGGACCUGCCAGGCAGGGGUGGGGGCAGAGGCCACCUGCUCCCUCUUCACCACAUGCCACCUCCUGCCCUGUUCCUUAUGAGAGCAGGUCUGAAGCCAAAGAAAACUAUCCCCUGCCUUUGGGUGUUUUUCUUUUUUCCUUCUAUUUUUUUUCUAAGAG
rnacentral:lncRNA from 1 species